UGGGGAAUAUUGCACAAUGGGGGAAACCCUGAUGCAGCGACGCCGCGUGAACGAAGAAGGUAUUCGUAUCGUAAAGUUCUGUCCUAUGGGAAGAUAAUGACAGUACUAUAGAAGAAAGCUCCGGCCAAAUACGUGCCAGCAGCCGCGGUAAUACGUAUGGAUCGAGCGGUGUCCGGAAUUAUUGGGCGUAAAGGGUACGCAGGCGGUUUAAUAAGUCGAAUGUUAAAGAUCGGGGCUCAACCCCGUAAAGCAUUGGAAACUGCUAAACUUGAGUAGUGGAGAGGAACGUGGAAUUCCUAGUGUAGUGGUGAAAUACGUAGAUAUUAGGAGGAAUACCAGUCGCGAAGGCGACUUUCUGGACACAAACUGACGCUGCGGUACGAAAGCGUGGGGAGCAAACAGG
rnacentral:rRNA from 1 species